rnacentral:rRNA from 1 species
UACAGAGGUCCCAAGCGUUGUUCGGAUUCACUGGGCGUAAAGGGUGCGUAGGUGGUUAGGUAAGUCUGAUGUGAAAUCUCUGGGCUCAACCCAGAAACUGCAUUGGAUACUAUCUAGCUAGAGGAGUGGAGGGGGGACUGGAAUACUUGGUGUAGCAGUGAAAUGCGUAGAUAUCAAGUGGAACACCAAUGGCGAAGGCGAGUCCCUGGACACUUCCUGACACUGAGGCACGAAAGCUAGGGGAGCAAACAGG